UACGAAGGGGGCUAGCGUUGCUCGGAAUUACUGGGCGUAAAGCGCACGUAGGCGGCUUUCUAAGUCGGGGGUGAAAUCCUGGAGCUCAACUCCAGAACUGCCCUUCGAUACUGGAGCUUGAGUCGGGAGAGGUGAGUGGAACUGCGAGUGUAGAGGUGAAAUUCGUAGAUAUUCGCAAGAACACCAGUGGCGAAGGCGGCUCACUGGCCCGGUACUGACGCUGAGGUGCGAAAGCGUGGGGAGCAAACA
rnacentral:rRNA from 1 species